AACAAAUUUCCCUAUAUUCUCUGGAAAAUCAAUUCUCUGGAAACCGCAUUUCUCCUCCAAAAUCAAACCCCCCAACCGUUCCUUAAGCUGAAAACAAACGCAGAAGCAUCCCUCCUCAGCUCCAUUGUUUCUCUCUCUUCAAUCCCAUGAUUCUAGAGAGAGAAAGAAAAGAGUUUCAGACUACAGCAAUGGCCAAAGCGCGUGACCGAUCAUCCAAGCCUCUCCACAACUUCUCCUUACCAUGCUUGAAAUGGGGCAAUCAGAGAUUCCUUAGAUGCAUGAAACUCUCUCCAAAUACCUCUAAUUCUUCAUCUUCCCUCAUACCCACAUCUGUGAUUUCGUUCCAAAACGCCGAGACCGACGCCAAUGGUGGAAUCGAAGCCAUUCGCCAGAAACUCAUGCUUGAUCUCAGAGAGGCCGCCGACAAGAUGAGACACUCCAUUUUGGAGGACAAUUCAGAGAGGCCUUGGAAUCUCAGGACUCGGAAAGCGGCUUGUAAGGUCCCCUGUGAGGCGGCUGUAGUGGAGAAAAAGAAGAAAAGAGAGAGACCGAAGUUUUCGGUGUCCCUAUCGAGAGAGGAGGUGAGGGAUGAUUUUAUGGUGAUGGUCGGUACGCGGCCGUCGAGAAGGCCCAAGAAAAGGGCGAGGAUAGUGCAGACGCAGUUGGAUUCAAUUUUUUCGGGUUUGUGGCUGACAGAAAUAACACUUGAUACAUACAAACUCCCCGACUUACCUGAAUCAACAAAGGUAUAGAGGAGGAGGUUUGGAUGGUUACUCAGAAUUUCAAAUAUUCUGGUCAUAAAAGUUAACGGCACAGGAGCAGCCACAAAGCACACCUCACAUGCAGGUACCAUCAGUAGCCUCGACCUCCACAGCCGGUGACGAUGCUACAGAGGUUAUUGAAGCCCGCAUCAGUGAGACAUCAAAGACUAUGCUUAGAUUAGCUUUGUCUUUGGUGCGAGAUGUGGGUGCAUUACGUUGUCGGCCCGGUGGAUCAGAGGGGAAUUCUUCCGUCCCUUGCCCAUCACCAGAGCACCACACUAAAGAUCAACCAAUGUGGCCAACACGAGUGAGGCAGCCAUUAGCUGAGGAAAUUGAACCAAAAGACAGCCUCGUACCAACCCCCCAUUCGCCAGUUGGAAUGGGACCAUCACCAACUCCCACUUAUUCCGAGCCAUUGGUCCCACAGUCUCAGGCAAAGGCAUCCCUUCCAGCUGAAGUGACAGUAGUGACAGUAUUUGUUCUUUUAUUAUAGUUAAGGGUACUGGUCAGUGUUGUAUUGGCGACUGAUUGGACAACAACUGUGAUUGUAAGAUGUGAUCCAAAGUGAUAGGUUUAUUAUGGGGUAUGAUACUAAUUUCAUAAGAGAACAACAAACAUAGACUGGAACCUAUUUGUUUG